UUUUCAGCUAAUUGUCACUUUCUCUCUCUACCUUCCCUGUUGAAACUCUUGACGCCUUUUACACUCUGCGGUCAAUUAAAGAUCACUUCAAAGUCAGGAAAAAGGAAGGAAAAAAUUUCUUAAAAAUCCUUCCUUUAGCUGCUUCACGUUCAUGUUCAACAACCAUAGGAAGAACCUGAUAAGCUCAGAAAGCAAAGGGGAUUGGAUCCUCUCUCUCUCUCUCUCUCUCUGCUUUUUUGGGGGUUAAAAAAGGGUGGUUCUUGUUUUGUGGUGCAACACACACGAGCCGAGCAUUGGUGGUUCCUUUCUUGGAUCCGUUUCUUCAGUGAUUUCAGAUGUUAGCUGAGAAUAUGGUUGUUCAGAAAUGCUACGCCUCAUCGUCCCAAGCAGUUCGAUGCACACGUUAGUGUUUGCUUUUGUAGCUGGAGGUUGAACAUGGUGAACUCAUCUGUCAUUACUGAGAAAGAUGUGCAAGAGGAAGAAGAUUCACGAAGCGGGGUGAGAAAGAAGGUCUGUUCGUCGACCAGUGAUUGUUUCGACUUCUCCAAAAACCGUGGCAAAGCGGAUGGAUGAUAACCUUGUACUAAAUGUCAGCCAAUCACAAAGCCGUGAAAGAUGUGUGAAGGAUGCGACUGCCCAAAGACUUCUCGGCUUAAGUACUCGGAUCCCGAAGCAUCUGGUUGCUCUCGAUGAGAGCUAUCUUCGACGCUGCCUGGAAUUGGUCCACAAAAGUGUGUCAAAGGAUACGACA